rnacentral:snoRNA from 1 species
UUUAGAUGAUUUGAAUUGAUAGCUGAGGCUCUGUGAGGAAUGACGAUUCAUAGGCAUGUUAAAGUUAUUAUGAAA